GCCACACAGACUUUCAUUAAUUUCAUAAACAAUGGGCUACUUUUGUUAAUGCUAGUGCCAGGAACUAUUAUUAACAUAGGCAGUCCCCAAAUAAAUGAGAUUAUCUGCAUUCGAAAGUUCUCUCACCCUAGUUAAGAGGAGUAGACAGUCGGUUACACUGUGAUACUUGAGGACUUUAGUUAUGCUGUGCUGUGUGCAGAAUGCUGCCUGAGCCCAGAAUAGGGAGUAGUACCUGGAGCAGUGAUGUAAUUAAUCACCCCCAAAAGCCCUAUUAAUAAAACCUUGCAAAGUCACUCUCUUCUUGGCUGCCAGCCUUUCUCAUCCUGAUCCAUCCUUUGCAGAAGCAGCAGAAUUAACUUACUAAAAAUCAGAUCUGACCAGUUUGAGC
rnacentral:lncRNA from 1 species